AAAAUUUCUAUUUCCACACACAGAGGCAAAAUCCCCACUUUGAACCCAUUUCAAAGGUAAGAGUGGUUAUAGUUCAGUUUUUCAAUAAUGGCAAAAGAAAAUACAAAUCAUCAAAGCUAACUUCAUAUCCACUCGUCAGUAUUACUUAACCCAGAAGUUAAGGUGGCUUACAAAAUUAUUAGCAAUGGUAAUUUUUUAUCAGUAUUAUGUAACAUAUCAGAUUUAUUUUAUUUAAAGAAUUAUUUAUACCAUUAACAGAUUCUUAUAUAUAUAUUAAUGUGGCUGAAAUGUGCAGGUUAAAUCUAUUAGCCAAAUUAUUUAUAUUAUAUGAAGUAAGAAAAAAUGUGAAACAAAUGUAGAGAGAAAAUACCACAUUACAGUGUACAAACCUAAAACUGUGAGCCAUUGUAAAGUACAAGGUAAUUAAUAAGAAAUGUAGCACAACAUAACUUCCCAUCUAUUUUUUACAGUUUUUGUGGUGGUGGUACAACCCUGUCUCCUAGGCAGUUAAGCAAAGCUUCAGGCCACCAGACUUCAGUUGAAGAUUAUCAAAAGAAGGGGUCCAUUAUUCCUUUUUCUUGGAUCCACAAGCCCCCACCCCCAAACCACUCAGAGCACUGCUUAUCCUCUAGUGGGGACUCACCAAUGGUCAUUGUAAUGCUCAGCUGCUGUAUCCCCAAAUGCUACCACUUCCCCACUCCUUUCCCAUCCACCUGCAAAUUCCACAGUCUUGUCAUGUAGCAGAGUUCCAGUAACUCAGGAAAAAGGAGACCAAGGUCAUUCCUCAAGUUGGUUUCUUGGGGCCACAGCACAGAGCAUGCCACCUGGGCUUACUUUUCAUAGCAACAAUUAUUAGCUCUUCCUCCAGGUCCCCUGUGUCUCUCUGUCCCUUCUGUUCCCAACCUCACCCCUACCCUUGACCCUGAUGGAAUGCAACUGGCUACACUAGGCUUCAUGGCCUGGAAGUAGGAACCCUUCCUUCAUGGGGUAGGUUCAUUUUGUCUUUUGCGUAUUGGUGGGAUUGCCCGCCUAGUCCUUCCUGCAAUCAGAGGAAGUAAUCUUUGGAUAGCUUAGAUGACAUAUUUUUGUUAUAAUUUGAAAUAUUUAAACCAUUAAUGUUCUCUUUUUUUGCACCAACCCGCUUUUCUACUGUUUUGUCUACACAGUUGUGUUUAUUCACAGAUAGAUGCAUAAGUGUGUUUGUGUGUUGGGUGUGUCUGCAUGUGUUAUGUUGAUAUGUAGAAGACGUUUUUAGUUUGCCUCUCUGUCUGCACACUGAAUUUGUGUCAGUCAAGCCUGCCUUUGGGUAUCUUGAGGGAUUCAGUUCAUGCUUCCCCAUCAUUGUAUACUUUACAUCAGUAGACCAUGUAAAGUACGUCUUCUCCCAUGAUUUCACUGGUUGCUUAUGGCUUGAUAUGGGUGCUAGGUAUAGUUGUCUCAGUCCACUGGGGUUUUUUUUUCCUCUCUUACAGUUGAAUGGUUUCAUGUAAGCAGUUAAUGUAAAUAUUGUUAGCAUUUUAGGUCAUGCAGUGCUGUAACAUUUUUUUUAAAUGUUGCACCUACUUUACAAUUAAAAAAUUGGUCACACACACUUCAAUUCUGCCCAUAGAGCCAUUUCUUUCUCUUUGUAUUGAAGCCAAUUCAUUUUUUUUUCAAAUGAAGGCUAGCUCUUCUAUGUUAGUACAUUUUUUUAUUCCCUAAAAUCAACUUUUAAAAAAGAACAAAUCCAAGAAUGGGAACAGAGUGAAAAAUUUUUGCUUCUUUAAAGAACAUAAUAGUCCCCACUGUAAAAGGAAAUCAGUUUUACUUUGUGUCCCUUAACAGUCCUAGGAAGCUCAAGGAGAAUAAACUACAUAUCUAAGUAGUUUUUAAAGAUUAUUUCAAAUGAGUGAAAAUUAACUGAGCAGCUCUUGUGUGGUUUGUCUUUGUUUGUAGCAUUAAAAGCAAUCCAGGAUUUUUAUUUAUUUAAAGGAACAUUUUUGGCUUGUACUCUUCAGUGACAUUAUGAAUGAAAAUGCUUUAAGAAGAACAUUCAUUCCUCGUAAUAUCAUGGGCCAUAUUUAGUCUUUUGUUUAGACGCUGACUUUGAGUUUUUGCUAAGUCUGUUUUUUAAGUAAACACAGCCUUCUCACUUGGACUUAACACUGCAGAAUUGUGGGAAGAGCAGAGGGCCACUAUUUUUUUUUUUUUACUUUCUGUAGUUUUAUGAAGAUUCUCAUAUCAUAUGAGUUGAUGCCUUUUUCAUUUCAGACCAUGAGAGCAAGUUGUCAUCGACUCUGGUGAUAUUCCAUGCAGUUUGCAGUAUCCUCUUGCAAAUCACAAGCAAUUUUGUAUUAGGAUUUUAAAAUCGGAGAUACAUAAGAUGUUGGUGGCAUUGCUCUUUCUGAAAAGAAAGCCAAGAUUCUAGACCUUCCUGAAAAUCUGUCAUCUUAUUUUACUUUGCCCAUUUAUGCUCAAAUGGCAUAAUGCAAGCAAGAUUCAAGACUUUUCAAUGUAGUGUAUAAAAUAAGUUAUGCAUUACUUGAUUCAUUUGGGGGAUAUGAACAAAAGAUAUCAACUAGCCAUAACUGUAAUAUUGAAUUAGUUUUUCUCUCUUCCAUUCACUCUAUCACAUUUGCAUUAGCCAAAGAGAUAAGAACAUUAGUAAUUUAUCUGUAUAAACAACCCAGAAGUGAAUAUGAAAUCAGUGAGCCAAAAAGCAAUAAACAACUCAAGCAUGGGAAAUCCUGUUGACAGUGGGAGUCUGAUAUAGAAAAAAAUAUAUAUAUAUAAAAAGAAUUAUCUUCAAAUAUGAAAGAUUAAUUUGUAUCUAUUGUAAAUAUGUAUUAUCAGCCUUAUCUGCUUUUAUACACACUGUGUGUGUACCUCAGUGACCUUUUAUAAACCGGAAAAAAUGGUUGAUUUAAUCAUUUGUUAUGUAAAUACAAAACUG
rnacentral:lncRNA from 1 species